rnacentral:rRNA from 1 species
AGAAUCAACGCUGGCGGCGUGCCUCAGACAUGCAAGUCGAACGCGAAAGUUUCCUUCGGGAAAUAAGUAGAGUGGCGCACGGGUGAGUAACACGUAGGUAAUCUACCUUUGGAUGGGGAAUAACAACCGGAAACGGUUGCUAAUACCGCAUAAUGCAGCGGCACCUAAUGGUGACAGUUGUUAAAGCGGGGGAUCGAAAGACCUCGCGUCUGAAGAGGAGCCUGCGGCGGAUUAGCUAGUUGGUAAGGUAAUGGCUUACCAAGGCUACGAUCC